AGUGAACGCUGGCGGUAGGCCUAACACAUGCAAGUCGAACGGCAGCACAGGAGAGCUUGCUCUCUGGGUGGCGAGUGGCGGACGGGUGAGGAAUACAUCGGAAUCUACUUUUUCGUGGGGGAUAACGUAGGGAAACUUACGCUAAUACCGCAUACGACCUACGGGUGAAAGCAGGGGACCUUCGGGCCUUGCGCGAUUGAAUGAGCCGAUGUCGGAUUAGCUAGUUGGCGGGGUAAAGGCCCACCAAGGCGACGAUCCGUAGUUGGUCUGAGAGGAUUAGCAGCCACACUGGAACUGAGACACGGUCCAGACUCCUACGGGAGGCAGCAGUGGGGAAUAUUGGACAAUGGGCGCAAGCCUGAUUCAGCCAUACCGCGUGGGUGAAGAAGGCCUUCGGGUUGUAAAGCCCUUUUGUUGGGAAAGAAAUCCAGCUGGCUAAUACCCGGUUGGGAUGACGGUACCCAAAGAAUAAGCACCGGCUAACUUCGUGCCAGCCGCCGCAGUAA
rnacentral:rRNA from 1 species